rnacentral:lncRNA from 1 species
AUAAACUUAACAAAUUAAACAAACUAAAUAAACGUAUUUUUCAUUUGAACUUAUUUAAUGAUAACAUCUUUAAACAGUUUAUUAUAAAUUCUAUCAGUGUGAAUCACAAAUAUAUUUUUGAUGGUUUAAAAAAACACAUAUUUAUUUAUUUAAAUUUGAUUAAUCAUAUAGAAACAAAAUAUAUGUUUUAUGAAAAUAAUUAUAAUUUAAAAAAUUUAAUUUAUUAUUUAUAUUUAAAUAAAAUUAUUAAAUUCUACGAUGCAAAUAUUUUUACCUAUGAAAAAAAUUUAUAUGUCUUAAAACGAAUUAUUUUUUUGCAUAAUACUAUUAGUUUUAACCAGCAAAACCAACAGAAAAAUUAUUUAACAAAUGAACAAUGUUUAUUAUAUACUUUUUCAAAUUAUUUUUUUGCUAGUUGUGAAACUGAUGGUCACAUAAUAGCGCAGCAUAAGAAGGCUAUUAAAAAUGGUAAACAUUGUAAAAAUGGUAAAAAUGGAACAGUACAAGACGGAAAAAACGAAUACGUUCAACAUAACAAGAAUGAUCAUUUAGAUUUAAAAAAUAUGUCAAAAAGUGAUAUUGUGGAUGGGAAACGUUACAAGUUAAAUAAAAACAACGAGAGGAAAAUAUAUGGAAGUAGUUUAUUACAUUCUCUAAUCAGUGCAAAAAUUAGAACAGAAAAGACAUAUGGAAAUUUAAGUGAAACUAAAAUAGAAAUGACAAAUAAAGAUAAAAAAAAAAAAUUUAAAGAUGUUACAAAUGCUAACUUAAGCAAUAUCACUAAUGAUUGUGAUUCUAAAAAUGUAAAUAAAAUAUUAAAUAAUAAAAAAGAUGCUUUAUACAAUAAUAUGAACCAAAGUUCUAUUAACCAUAAUCCGUAUUUAGAAAAAAUAGAUUAUAAUAAUAAAAAUAUAAAUUAUACAAUAAGCUUGAGUGACAUAAAAUCAUUUAUUAAUAUUAACAGUAAUGUUACAUCAAAUAAUAGUGCUAUCGAAAUGGUAAGUAGAGAAGAUUAUAAAAAUCAAGUUACAUUGAUGUUAGAUACUACUAAGGCACAUAGCAGUAGGCGCGAUCGUAGCAACAAAUGGAGCAGUAACAUUAACAAAAAUGUACAAGACACUUUCAAUGAUAUCUGUGUGGAUAAUAAACGUUUAAACAAGAGCUACAACAGUUAUAAAAAAAAUGAUAACUUAAUGAAACAGUUUUUGAAAGAAAAAAAUAAUAAAAGUAUGUUUAAUGUUAAUAAUCGGCGUGUAUAUGCAAAAAAAGAAGAAACUGAACUUUUACUAGGAUUAAAGGACAACCACAUUAAUAACAAAAAGAAGAACAUAUUAGGUGGAGACGAUAACAACAAAUGCGACACUGACAAAUGCGAUACUGACAAAUGCGAUACUGACAAAUGCGACACUAAUAAAUGCGACACUAAUAAAUGCGACACUAAUAAAUGCGACACUAAUAAAUGCGAUAAUAAUAAAUGCGACACUAAUAACAAUUUUGACAUUUUUUAUAAUUUUAAAAACAACGAAUUGAAGGUACUAAUUUAUAAUUUUUUAUAUAUCUACAUUUUCGACGAAUGUAUAUAUAUGAAUACACAUAAAAAAGACAUAAAUGAAUAUUUUAAUUUUUCAAAUAUAUUAAAAAAAAAACAGAAAGUGCGAUAUAGAUUUCAUAACUUGUUUCACAGAUCCAAGAUGGACGUUGGUGAAAAUGUCGCUAUUUAUAAAAAGUACAUAAAAG